rnacentral:rRNA from 1 species
AUCGAACGCUGGCGGCAGGCUUAACACAUGCAAGUCGAGCGAGCGGCGGACGGGUGCGUAAUGUCUGGGAAACUGCCUGAUGGAGGGGGAUAACUACUGGAAACUGUAGCUAAUACCGCAUACAAUCAGUUGUGCCCAGAUGGGAUUAGCUUGUAGGUGGGGUAAUGGCUCACCUAGGCAACGAUCCCUAGCUGGUCUGAGAGGAGGACCAGCCAAACUGGAACUGAGACACGGUCCAGACUCCUACGGGAGGCAGCAGUGGGGAAUAUUGGACAAGGGGCGCAAGCCUGAUGCAGCCAGGCGGGGUGUGUGAAGAAGGCCUUCGGGUUGUAAAGCACUUUCAGCGAGGAGGCGUUACUCGCAGAAGAAGCACCGGCUAACUCCGUGCCAGCAGCCGCGGUAAUUC